UACGAAGGGGGCUAGCGUUGUUCGGAAUACUGGGCGUAAAGCGCACGUAGGCGGACUUUUAAGUCAGGGGUGAAAUCCCGGGGCUCAACCUCGGAACUGCCUUUGAUACUGGAAGUCUUGAGUAUGGAAGAGGUAAGUGGAAUUGCGAGUGUAGAGGUGAAAUUCGUAGAUAUUCGCAGGAACACCAGUGGCGAAGGCGGCUUACUGGUCCAUUACUGACGCUGAGGUGCGAAAGCGUGGGGAGCAAAGCAGG
rnacentral:rRNA from 1 species